ACAGGAAUAAUUUAAUGGUAAAAUUAAUGUCUCCAAAACAUUCUUUGUGGGUUCGAGUCCUCCUUCCUGUG
rnacentral:tRNA from 1 species